GGAAGAAAGGGAAUUCUUUCUCUGCAGUCUUUGGACUUUUUAAUGAGCCCAUAAUCAUUUACUACUCGUGUAAUUGAAUUUCUGUGGAAAACUAUAAUGGAGAUAAUGGCACGGAGCUGGGCUGUUUGAGGUGUGGGUGCCAUGCCUGGCAGAAACAGGCACCCAGAACAGGACGCCAGAGAACUGUGACCUGCCCACUGGUUUGACACUCUGCCAGGAUUGGCCAUUAAUCAUGCGACGCCCGUUAAUCCUCCGAGGGAGGUACUAAUAUACCGUCCCAUCUUACUGUCUAGAAACUGGAAUAACUGGGAGGGUAGGUCACCUGCCCAAGGUCACAGGGCUCCUCAAGGCCAGCGUGGGACUUGACCCCAGAUAGCUCCUGGACACACUUGGCAGAAGAUGCAGAUACGUUAGCACCUCCCUCAAAGCACACGUGGGCGACGGCAUCGAUAAGGAGAAAAUUCUGAGAUGUUCUAAAUGAAAUUACAGAGGCCGGAGAACGUGAGAAAGAGAAAGAACCGUUAGUCCGUUAACGGCUGCCGGCCAGAUGACAGAAGACUGCCCACAUUCCUGUGGACGCUGUUGGCACUUGGGACGGACUUACAGGUGGCUUAGAUCGUUUUAGCCAGGCACCACCCACCUCCAGCGCCGCCUGCUUGCUCGCCCGCGGGCAGGAGCGAACACUUCUUCAUGUGGACUGGGAGCUGGACUCGGAGCUGGACCCCUUCGCCUUCUCCCACCCCUUUGCCCACAGCUAAAGUAAAUUUCUUUCAAACGAACUCUUUCUCCCCACUUUCCCCUACUUGAUGUAUAAAACUGCUUUCAAAAUUCUGGUAAUGCAGGGAGGAGGCAAGAGAAUUAAAAUGUUAAAUCAAGCCACAUUCGGAGACUGCCAUGUGCUGACCAGCCCUGCAGCCAGGCCACGAGGUCACCUGCAGAACACAGGGAGAUGUCUGCUGGAACUAAGAGCCCCUUCGCCACACCUGUGAAGAGGGAACAGGAACCAAGAGUCACUCCCUGUGGUUAAAACCACCGAGAAUCUAAGGAUUAAAGGCUGGGAACUGCCCGCAGGCCUUUCACGCUACACAUUCUUACCUUUUCACACUAGACUCUUCCCCUUCCUCACUGCAUGUUCCUAUCAAAGGAAACGGGUUGACAAAGUCUUUAAACUGUAAGUCACAGGAAUUGAAGAAUGACACAGAAACUGAAUUCCCUGGACACUCAGGGCCCCUCUCACUGUCUUCACUCUCACUGUCCUCUCGUUGCUAUUGUCCCUCUGAGCUGCUCUCAGGCCCUCAUUCUGUCUCUGAGAGAGACCACCCUCUGUCUGUGGAGUGUUACCCCUUCCCUAAUAAACUAUUUUUUUGACUAUGA